GGCCGAGUCAUCGACGACGAGUCACACUCUCCUCGUGUGGUAAGCGUCGCUUCUCUCUCCCAACGCUGCUGCCAUGGAAAAUACAUUCGUAUUAGUCGUGUCAUUUAAUUGCUAGUAUUGUGACGUAGUAUUACGUGUAAAAAAAAAUAUAUGUUUCUGUUCCGUCGAUAUAUAUAUAUACACAUUAUUCGUCGUAUGGGGAAUACCCCGGAUGACGGAUGGCGAAGAGCAUAAAAUGUAUAAAUGUUUGAUUGAGGCGUAAGAUACUUCACUGCUAAUAUACUAUAUUUCCGUGGCGAGACGCAUCAUCGAAAUAAGAAUGAAAAAACUAAUAUUAUGACGUCUCUAACAAAAUGAUGUACGAGCUGGAUGAUUUUUUCUUUCUUUUCGACUCGAAAGAGAGUGAUUUCGAAUGCCGAGGAGCAGCCACAGCGAGGGGUGAAAAAAUACUUGGAGCAUAGAGGAUUGUGUGUACCACCUGGUCUCACCUUUGUACAAUGGACAAGUGCAACGACGCGUGUGUCAGACCUCUCUCAUGCUUCGUCUUUUUAUUCCUCUUUCCGUACAUUUCUCGUUCUCUCUCUUUCUCCCUUUUUCACAUCGGAGGGGCGAGGGAGAAGGAGGAGGAGGAGGAGUAACCAGUUUAAAAAAGAUCGUAAGGUGGACUCUUGGACGACAAUGCUCGCACACAGGCCAAAGCCCCCAACGAGGGUAUAUAUCCGUCGCCAAGGAAGAAACGAGAUCGGUAAGAAUGGGACUCGGAUUUGAGAGCCAAAGAGAGACGGAGAGAAACAAAGAAUUUCCGUAGGUGUAUGUGAAUUCGCGUGUGUAUCCUAGUCGGUCAUACGGCAAACCUUAUUUUUUCUUUCAAACUAAAUCAAGCAAUGACCUUGCACUUCAACCCAAGCUCUUUUAUCCGAUUGUUUCUCUUUUUCAUCUGUUCCGCUCGGUUGUUACUCGCGCUCUCUUUCAACUUGUUUGAACGCGCGCUCGCAAUGUACCUUAAAUAUUCCAAUGAAACAAAUAUGAAAUGACAAUGAGUCGAGGAAAUUUGUAAAUUUGCGAUUCUAUUGCGAUUGGAGGAUGGACGAGCAGUCGAUAGACAAACAAUAAAUCGAGGUAAAACCGUCGAAAUUUUCUUUAAUUUUAUUUAUCAAGAUCAACGAUCAAAGCCAAACUUCUUGCUUCGUCAAAAUUGAUAAAACGAAUUUUAUCUGUAAUGAAAAAUCAUAAAAAUUAGUUACAUGCGCGCAAUCUCAAAAUCCAAUAUUCAUCGUAUCAUCCAAUUCGCGUAUCUCCGCCGUUCGAGUAUCAUAUCAUAAAUGAUACUCCGAAUCAGGAGGGAAAUAUAUAUUUUUUUGUCAACGCUCGUGCGUCUUCUACUUCGAGUGUGACGAAAUAAAAUAUCGAUUUUUUUGCUAUCACCUUAAUUUACAUAUGUUAAUUUGUUUACUCACCACCUGGCAAUGCGCGUGACUA